UCGGCUCGACUCGGCAAUGAUCGGACGUGGUCGGUUCUGUAGCUCCGAGACCAUUUCCGAUUAUCGCCGAGUCGAGCCGAA